ACUUUAAUUAGCACUUUGUUGAUUGUAACACAUUGUUGUCUUUGAAAAUGAUUUUACCCCUUGACGUAGAUAUCGCUGGACUGUUGUCCAGUCAGGAAAUUGGUGUCGUCCAAAAUGAUGUCUUCUGUGUUCCAGAUGAUGAUACGCAGCUCGUACCUGAGCACACACGUAGGCGAAAUGUCCACUGGAGGUCCUGGAUGAGGCAGGUCCAUUGGAAACAUGUCAACCCACAUCUGGAGUUGGCCCUACACAUACAAGAGUCAGGAAAUAAGGGUGCUGUGUUACAGCGCCACCACCCAGUGACGCCACCUAGGUCAUCUGUGGUACCUGGUCCAUGCCGGGUCGAGCCUUGUUAAAGAGAGUUCUGGUCUCAAUGUGUUCUGGUACCAGUUUGCAUCCCAAAACCGGCAUCUCUGACCAACGAUGCAGGAUCUUUAGAGACAGAUGCUCAUAGGACUCCACAGGCUCAUCUGGAACAUCAUUCGUCGUAGUCACAAUGUCAUCACAGAGCGUCUUUCCAGUGAAGACCUUGUCAGCGACAGUGAUGCGUCCCGGUCUGAAAUGAGGACCAUCGAGACCAUUUUCUCUGCACAGCUUAGACAAGAGCUCUGAUGGUUUCAGACUGUCUCUCCAGGCAUUAUACCCCUCCCUGACAGUUGGAAAAUAAAAGAAUAUUAGUGAUAAAUAAUAUCAUACUGUUUGCUUGUAUAAUAUGUAUUUUAUAUAUGUAUUUCUGACCACAUACUAGACGUUUUUUGACGAGAUACUAAACAAUUAUUUUUUUUUUUUACAACAUACUAUGCAAAAGCAUGUUUUUGAUGACAUACUGUACUAAAACAAUUGUUUGACAAGAUACUAUAUCAAGGCAUGUUUUUGACGACACUACUAUGGUAUUUUUAUGACGAGAUACUAUACUAAGACCAUUUUUUACAAUAUACUAUUCCUAGGCAUGUUUUUGACAGCAUAAUAAACACCUGUUUUUAUGAUACUA